GAGUGGCGAACGGGCGAGGAAUGCGUUUCUAACGUGCCCCAAGGUCGAGGAUAGCUCGGGGAAACCCGGGGUAAUACUCGAUGACCCCCAUGGAUCGCAUGGUUCGUGGGGCAAAGGCUUGCUGCCUUGGGAUCGGGAAACGCCCUAUCAGGUUGUUGGUGAGGUAACGGCUCACCAAGCCUAAGACGGGUAGCGGGUGUGAGAGCAUGACCCGCCGCAUCGGGACUGAGACACUGCCCGGACUCCUACGGGAGGCUGCAGCAACGGAUAUUGGGCAAUGAGCGAAAGCUUGACCCAGCAAUGCCGCGUGCAGGAGGAAGCCCCUCGGGGUGUAAACUGCUGUCAGGGUUUAGGAAGUUCUGACCAAACCCAAAGGAAGGGCCGGCUAACUUCGUGCCAGCAGCCGCGGUAAUACGAAGGGCCCAAGCGUUAAUCGGAAUCACUGGGCUUAAAGGGUGCGCAGGCGGAAUGGUCAGUGUCUUGUGAAAUCCCACGGCUCAACCGUGGAACUGCAGGGCAUACUGCCAUUCUUGAGGCCGGUAGAGGCCGCCGGAACUCUAGGUGUAGCGGUGAAAUGCGUAGAUAUCUAGAGGAACGCCAAAGACGAAGGUAGGCGGCUGGGCCGGGUUCUGACGCUCAGGCACGAAAGCGUGGGGAGCAAACAGGAUUAGAUACCCUGGUAGUCCACGCCGUAAACGUUGUGCACUAGGUGCUGGAGGUUCUGACACCAUCAGCGCCGAAGCGAAAGUGAUUAGUGCACCGCCUGGGGAGUACGGUCGCAAGGCUAAAACUCAAAGGAAUUGACGGGGGCUCACACAAGCGGUGGAGCAUGUGGCUUAAUUCGAGGCAACGCGAAGAACCUUAUCCUGGGCUUGACAUGCAUGGAUUAACGCUGGGAAACCAGCGCCACACUCUUUGAGUGGAACAUGCACAGGUGCUGCAUGGCUGUCGUCAGCUCGUGCUGUGAAGUGUUGGGUUAAGUCCCUUAACGAGCGAAACCCCUGUCGCUAGUUACCAUCAGGUAAUGCUGGGGACUCUAGCGAGACUGCCGGUGUCAAACCGGAGGAAGGCGGGGAUGACGUCAAGUCCUCAUGGCCUUUAUGCCCAGGGCUGCACACGUGCUACAAUGGCGCCGACAGAGCGAAGCAAAACCGCGAGGUAGAGCAAAUCGCAAAAAAGGUGCCCCAGUUCGGAUUGCAGUCUGCAACUCGACUGCAUGAAGCCGGAAUCGCUAGUAAUCGCGUAUCAGCAACGACGCGGUGAAUACGUUCCUGAGCCUUGUACACACCGCCCGUCAAGUCAUGGAAGCCGGGAGUACCCGAAG
rnacentral:rRNA from 1 species